UGUACUGAACGUCGAAAACGUCGAUCUCCGGGUGGAUCUCUUCGAAGUAAGCCGCGUAGUAUCUGUUCUCUUCUACGAAGACGGUGCGGCCGUUGUGGUUUAGCGCUUUCCAUAGGAGAGUCUCGUGCGUGAGUCCGAAGACGAGGAGGUUGCACGGCGGAGCGCAGCGGCGGAGGACGUCGGAGAUUGAUUUCAUCUCGCCGUAAGACAUGUGGAAGCUGUCGUUGGAUCUUGACGCGUAGUGGAGCAAUGCGUUGAUGGUGGUUGUGGGGAGGUUGGUGUUGGUAGUGGUGGUUGGGGAAGGUGAAACUCCGGCGGCGGAUGUGACGACGGCGGCUACAGCGGCGGCGACGGACGUGUUUUUGGAAGGGAUUAUGGCAUCUCUAGUGUAGAGGAGAGUGAGGAGGAAGAUGAUGGUGAAGAAAGAGACGAAAGCGAGGAGCCAUAAACGAGUCGUGCUUGAUUGUUUUUGGAUGUAUGGGUGAAGAAGGAUGAGCUUUGUGUUCGUGUUCCCUGACCCGUUCUUCAUUCUUAUCUUCUUCUGAAGAUUUUGAGAGAGAGACACAAGAAGAAGAUGAAGGAUGGUUUAAGAUUUCUCAAAGGGACAAAGAUGAUUUUAAAAGGAAGUGAGUAGUGAGUAGUUUUCGUAAAAUGUGAACUAUAAGCAAAAGAGUUGUACAAACGUAGUAGACCAAAGUGAAACACAUUAUGAUAAUUUCUGAUUAACAUUCUAGAAGUUUAUUUCUUUCAAGGUUUUAUAUUGUUUUCACCAAAUAUCCAACCGUAAGAACUUUAUAUAUAUAUAGUCCAAUUUUAUUCUCUACUUUCUUAAUUACUCGACUAUGACUGAAAUAUCUGAUGGUGUGAAUUUUAAUUUUUGUAUUUUUCUUGAAUAAAUUCAUUUACUUACUGCUUUUCAAAUUCAAAAUUUUGAAGAAAAAAAAAUCAACAAACCAGAAUUAUAUAGACAAAAAAAUUCCUGUUAAGCCGCUAAUUAAGUGGUACAAUUGCAAGUAUCCUUCACAAAUAUUUAAUUAAACUAUAAAUAUCAAGAGUUUAUAUCAGAUUAAACUCAUACUGUCAUACAUGUUAUCCAACGUCUAGAAAACCCAGUAAAAACGAUUUCAAUUUAUAAAUACAAUAUUCAUCUUUAAUUUUUAAUCCUAAUAAUAAAAUAGUUAUGGACCAUGGAGUAUAUACAUUUUAGAGGGUUUCUCAUGUUUAUAUUAUUUGUUAUGACUAAUAGAAAAUUUUGUUUUGAUUAAAUUCAAGAUUAUUUUUUUAAUAGCGUUAAAAACAAGAUUCUACCAAAGGCGUGCAUGUUUUAUUAAUUUCCAUUAUAUAUUUAUACAACUUAUAAUGAGGGUGCGUGAGGUUGGUGUAUGUAUAAGUGUAAGAGUUUCGGUCAUUGCAAGAGACAUCAGAUCUAAUUACAGACCAAACGUCUCGGUCUCCUAUUGCUUUGUUUAGCUCUCAAGGAAACAGCCCAUAACUACGAGAUAAAAAAACACGCACACAAAACAUGAAAACUAUAGUAAUAUUUAAUGAGAAUUCGGCCAAAACAAACCUGAACUUUGCACGAAUUGCCAAAAAAAACAUGAACUUUUGGGCUGACCAAAAAAACACCAAACUUUCAUUGACUUUAGAAUUAAUUAACAAUGUUUUCGCUGACUUGCCAAUUUAGCACGCCGUCAACAAAUUUAACAGAAAUAUUUAACGUCGUUUAUUGUUGGCGUUAAGUAAAACGACGUCGUUUGCAAAUGAGAUGAAACGACGUCGUUUUACAUGAUUUGAAAUUAAAAAUAUGUAAACCCCUAGAAUCGAACCCAGGUUGGUUGGUCAAAUGACAAGGUAUUUUACCACUAGGCUACUGGCACUUUCAAUGUACUUACUAACAUGUUUAUUUUUAUUUGAUACAUGUUAAAUAUAAAAAAUUCUCUAAAAACUUAAUAAUAAAAAUACUAAAAUAUAUCUAUUAUAUUUUAAUUAAUAUUAUAAAAUUUUAAAAUAAAAAUAUUUUCUAUAAUUUUAAAAAUUUAAAACUAUAACUUUCUAAAUAUAAUUUUGAUAUUUAUUAUAAUAUUAUGAUUUUUGAUAUUUUUAUAAUUAUAUAGAAUGUAAAUAUUGUUAAUUUAUUAUUUGACCGCUGUUGUAUUCGGUAGUUAACCAGUCAUAAGUAUCCCGCAAACGCAUCAAUUUCUAACCACAGAACCAGUCGUAAAAAUCUCUUAAAACCGCUAGAAACCGCAACCUCCCGCAUCCGCAAACUUCCGCAGGCGCAACCGCUGCGUUUGAACCAGUCAGGCCCUAAGUAAAAAAAAAGAGUUGGAACAAUUGAACAAACAGUGUGUGUUAAUUGUGUUUUGUUUAAUAUACUCAUCUGUAGAUUCUUCUUGACAUAUAUCUAACCCAGGGUAUAGAAAAUCGAUUGGAUUAAAUUAAAGUCUUCACAUAGAUGAUAAGAUCCAAGAUCUACAAUGAGAAAGAAAACUUUUAUUUUUACAAACUCCGCAAUAACAAUGCGUGACGUCUCUCAAAUUUUUAGGACAAAGAAGAAACAGAGCGUUUCUUACGAUCACUACAAAACCGGGUGCUGUUUUUAUCCAUCUUAUCCAACACGUAGUGCGCAAGCAACUCAUUAGACUCGACAAGAUUCUCCCGACACAAGAACUCAUCUCCACAAAGCCUCUCAACGUCUCUGUAAUAAUCAUGCACGAACACAUGCGUCUUCGGACUCCCGCCUUUUUUGCUCCGAGCAAGAACCGCCGCCGUGAAAAUCGACGACAUCCUCCCCGGUCCUUCGUUAGCGUCGCCACGUGGCCCGUCCACAAAGAUCACGUCCCAGUCAACAUCGUAGACGUGAUUAGGCAAGUCGUUUAAACCUAGUUUGCAGUCGGAGAAGAGGAGAUUCUGCACGGGACGACACUCGUUUCCAGCGGCUUCUUUCGCCGCAGCGACGAGCUCUCCGGCCUCGUGAGCUUUGGUCGUGUAUUGAACGUCGAAAACGUCGAUCUCCGGGUGGAUCUCUUCGAAGUAAGCCGCGUAGUAUCGAUUCUCUUCUACGAAGACGGUGCGUCCGUUGUGGUUUAGCGCUUUCCAGAGGAGAGUCUCGUGCGUGAGUCCGAAGACGAGGAGGUUGCACGGCGGAGCGCAGCGGCGGAGGACGUCGGAGAUUGAUUUCAUCUCGCCGUAAGACAUGUGGAAGCUGUCGUUGGAUCUUGACGCGUAGUGGAGCAAUGCGUUGAUGGUGGUUGUGGGGAGGUUGGUGUUGGUAGUGGUGGUUGGGGAAGGUGAAACUCCGGCGGCGGAUGUGACGACGGCGGCUACAGCGGCGGCGACGGACGUGUUUUUGGAAGGGAUUAUGGCAUCUCUAGUGUAGAGGAGAGUGAGGAGGAAGAUGAUGGUGAAGAAAGAGACGAAAGCGAGGAGCCAUAAACG
rnacentral:lncRNA from 1 species